GAAAGAUGUCAUGUAUGACGCCGAAGACAUCAUUGAUCUUUGCAUGAUACAGGGCAUGGGGCUGUUGCAAGAUGAUCAUCAUUCUCCGGCUGAGUCAUCAAGUAGUACUGCUUCGAAACGGGUGAUGCAUAUGUUGUGAAUCAACCUUCUUCUCAUCAGAGUUCCUCCUUACCUGAACCUGACAUUGUGGGGUGGGAUAUCAGAGAUGCAACCAAUAGUCUUGUUGAAUUAUUGGUCUCUCCUCAUGAACAGAAAUGCCGUCUUUUUGCCAUUGUCGGUAUGGGGGGUAUAGGCAAAACCAUACUUGCACAACAAAUCUAUAAUGAUUCGAAGAUAAAUGAUCAUUUUUUUGUUACAUUCGUGGAUUUGGGUUUCAAAAUCUUCGACAUCAAUGACUGACUUGCUGAAAGAAAUCAUAAGAAAUGUUGGGCAUAAUUAUACUGAGUCAAUAACGAUCGUUGAGUUGCAAAAAAUUCUUUCUAAUGUUCUGCGAGGGAAGAGCUUGUUCUUGGUUUUGGAUGAUGUUUGGGAUGCAGAUGUAUGGAUUGAAUUAAUUAAAAGUCUGAUACAAAUAGCAACAACAAAAUGUAGAGUUUUGGUUACCACAAGAGACAGAAAUAUUGCUAUGAAAAUGAGGGCAGUUCAUAUCCACAAUGCCAGUAAAUUGUCUUCGGACUUUGGUUGGGAAUUACUCUGUAAGAAUGUUUUCACAAACAAUGAGGUAAGCGAUAUGCAAAGAAUGAAGGACAUUGGGAUGCAAAUCAUUGAGAAAUGCGAUGGUCUUCCAAUCUCAAGCAAAGCUAUUGCCGGUGUUCUACUAACAAAAGACCGAAAUAAGAGAGAAUGGGAGAAUGUUCUUCACAACGAUGCAUGGACUAUUACUGGACUUCCCAAAGAGCUCCGUGGAGCAUUAUAUUUGAGCUAUAAAGAUUUACCUUCUGCUCUUAAACAAUGUUUCCUAUAUUGUUCUCUUAAGCCAAAAAAUUGUGAAUUUGAUUAUUAUGAACUUGUUCCUGAAUGGAUUGCAGAAGGUUAUAUAAAAGCUAGUGGAAAUUCAUCAAUGGAGGAUGUUGCUAAAGACUAUUACAUGGAAUUAAUUAAGAGGAGUUUCUUACAACCUAAUCCAGAUUAUGUUGAUAUGUCCACAUGCACAGUGCAUGAUUUGUUGAGAGGUCUUGCUCAGGCUUUAGCAGGCGAUGAAAACUUUAUAGGAGAUCCACAAGAUGCACAAAAAACUGAUUCAAUUAAAAUAGGUACGUCGUCUGACAGUGUCAAGUGAAAAGGACAGCGUGGGUAUUGAACAUCUUGAUUCCCUUAGAAGAUUAUCAUUAUCGACCCCUCCAAAUGUGAACACACAGGUGAUUGGAAGCUUGAAGCAUUUGCGUCUAUUGACCCUCAAUGGUUACAUGAUUGAGAAUAUCCCCGAUAGUAUCGGGGAUUUAGUACACUUGAGGCUUCUUGAUUUAUACAAUACAAGGAUAUGUGAACUACCAGAAUCUUUGGGAAACCUCAUUAACCUACAAUUCUUAUUGCUAAACAAUUGUCAAUCUUUGCACAUCCUUCCUGGAAGCAUAACUAAGCUAUGCAAUCUGAGGAGGCUCAUUCUUCGCAACACGCCUUUAAAUUAUGUCCCCAAAGGAAUAGGCAAGUUGGAACAUCUUAAUUUUUUGACAGGAUUUAUGGUAGGAAACAAUGGUAUUAAUGAAGGUGAGGGAUGUGACCUAGAAGAGCUGCAAAUGCUUACAAAUCUCAGUUGCCUUGGAAUAAAGAACUUGGAGAAAGCAAGAGGCAAAAGUGCUUUAGUGCUCUCAAGCAAGGCUCGCCUUAGAGAAUUGCGUCUUAGUUGCACACCCAAUAUUAGUGGGCAUGUUCAACAGCAAGAGAUGGACAAUAUUGUACAAGUCUUUGAUGAGCUAUCCCCUUCAACAAGCCUUGCUGAUCUAGAAAUUGAAGAUUAUUUUGGGGCUCGAUAUCCAAAGUGGAUGACACCCACUUCAAUUGGUACUACUUUUCUUGAAUUAACUUAUUUGGAACUUGUUAAUUGCUCCAACUGCUCUCAGCUUCCCCCGCUUGGCCAACUGCCCCAGCUUAAGUUUCUGUUGAUAGAAGGAGCAACUGCAGUAGUAUCGAUCGGCCCUGAAUUUUUAGGUAAUGGAGAACCUGCAGAAAGUGCCUUCCUUAAGCUUGAAGGCUUAGUACUCGAAGACAUGCCUAAUUGGGAGGAAUGGUCGCUGACCAGUGGAGAGGAAGAUAACAAGCUUGAAUCUAGCAAUCUAUUGCUCUUCCCCCAUCUCAAGAGAAUUUUCAUUAAUAAGUGCCCCAAGCUUAAAGCUCUUCCAAGAGGCUUGAAUGUCAUCCAACAAUUGCAAAUUGGAAGUGCUCACAACCUUUUAAAGGUCUCUGAUCUCCGUGCCUUGAGAGAAUUGGUAGUUGCUUAUUGCCCAAUGCUGAAGUGUGUUGAGAAGCUUGAGUCUCUGCAGAGCUUGAAGAUGGUUGAUACAUCGAACAAGAGUCUCCCUGAGUGGCUCAUUUCUUUCCUCCAACAACACGAAAAGCUUCAUGAUAAUCAAUUCUACUUGCUAUUGGUGUCCAGUGCCCAAGCAUUGAACGGAUGUUUUAAAGGCCAUCCCUAUUGGGGUUUCCUCCAGCAAGUGCCUCGCUUGGAAGCAUAUGCAAAGAACAGAACCAUGUAUUUAAAGUACACCAAGGAUCCAUUUUCCUACCAAACCAACGUUGAUGAAGUAUCAAUUGAUGAAGACUAGGAUGAAAGCUUGAAGUUUAAUGAGAUAAUGACACACGACUGGAUCUAAUGGAUAUGCUGGGCAAGCAACGGCGUAAUCUGAAGAAAUUGAUUCAUUCUCAAAUAAUUAGGGGCUUUUUUGGCAACUAGUAUCCAAAGUGGAUGUCAUCCACUUCCAUCAGUACAACUCUUCAUGAAUUGACUGGUUUACAGCUUGUUAAUUGCUCGAGUUGCCCUCAACUACUGUUGAACAUGACUAAGUGAGAAGACAAAAAGGAGUCUAAAGAAAUUUUCUAUUUUCGACUGCCCCAAGUUGAAAGCUCUUCCAAGAAGCUUGAAACAUACCAACAUCAAAGAAUUGCAAAUCGAAGGUUGUCAGUCUUUCAAGGGUCUCUGGUCUCCCUUCCUUGAGAGAGUAGGAAGUUGUUGAUUGCUUGUGGAGAAGCUUGACUCUUUGCAGAGCUUGAAGCUUAUUGAUGAAGAGAGCAGAAGUCUCCGAGUGGCUUAUCUCAUUUCUCCAACAACGUGAAAAACCUCAUGAAGAUCAUUUUUGCUUGUAUUUGGAGUGCACUGUACAAGCACUCCAUGGGUGUUUGCAACGGUCUCCAUAUUGGUUGUUCCUCCAGCAAGUACCCCGCUUGGUAGCAUAUGCAAAAGGGAGAAGCAUGUAUUUGAAGUACACUUAGGAACCGUAUUCCUAUGAAACCAAUCUUGUUCAAGACAUGACUGUUUCCCCAGCUUGGCCAACUGCCAAUUGGUCCUGAAUUUCUUGGCAAUGGAGAACAUGCAAAAAGUGCCUUCCCCAAGCUUGAAUACUUAAUAAUUUGGAAUAUGACCAAUUGGGAGGCAUGGUCACUAAUGAGUGGAGAGGAAGAAAACGAGCUUGAAUCUAGCAGCCUAUUGCUCUUCCCUCGUCUUAUUCGUAUUGCCAUUAAAAAUUGUCCCAAGCUUAAAGAUCUUCCCAAAGGCCUGAAUCGCAUCCCAAAAUUGCACAUCAAACAAGCUGCCAAACUUUCGAGGGUCUCUGAUCUCCCUGCAUUGAGAGAAUUGGAAGUCAUUGAUUGCUCAAAGCUGGCAUGUGUCGAGAAGGUUGACUCUCUACAGACCUUGGUGAUGAUUGAUGAAGAGAACAAGAGUCUCCCCCAGUGGUUCAUUUCUUUCCUACAACAAUUCAAAAUGCCUCAAGACAAUCAAUUCCUUAUUGGGUUUUCCUCCAGCAAAAACCCCGCUUCGAAGCCUGUGCAGAGAAGAAAAGCAUGUAUUUGAAGUUCACUAAAGAAUUAUUAUCCUACCAAACCAACCUUGAUGAAGAGACAACUGAUGAAGACCAGCAAAAAAAGCUUGAAGUUUAAUGACAUGAGGACUUGCGUGACUGGAGGAAUGAUAUUUGGGAGUGGGAUUUCCAGUAGACUGUCUGAAAAUACAAUGGCGCAAGUUAAGAUGUGUCUCUAAUUGUGCUUGAAGCUCUUGAGGGGGAGUCCAUUUUCUCCAAUGACAGUUCUAUGUGGAUAUGACAGGCGAGAAAUGGUGUAAUCCAUCGGCUACAAUUCAAUCUAAUGAAAUUUAUUCAUUUUCAAACUUUCUCUAUUCACAGUCUUCCAACUCCUCAGAAUCUAUGAACUAAUGAACCAAUCAUGAAGCCUGGAUUCUAGCUCAACAAUGAAAAGAUUUAUAUGUGGGAGGGCCAUAGAUGUGAGAACAUAAAAACUUGCAAGCAUAUCGAACUCUUAUUCAACCAAGGGCCCAGAAAAGUUGGAGGCCUGCUUUUGAGAUGAUUCGAGCUAUCAACAAAUUUAAGUCUGACUUUGGGGGGCAAAUUGUUUCUUUAGAGCAUGUGCAGCCUUCUUUGGAUCAUGUGCCUCACCGAUAUUUGGAAGUGGACUUUCCAAUAUAAUGUCUGAAAAUACAAUGGAGCAUUAUAAGAUUUGUGUCUUUAAAUUCUGCUUGAAGCUCUUGAGGUGGAGUCCAUUUUCACCAAUGAAAGGUCUAUGUGGAUAUGAUGGCCAAGAGAUGGUCUAAUGCUUCAGAUACAAUUUAAUCUAAUGGAAGGAAUUCAUUCUCAAAGCAUAUCUAUUCACACACUACCAUCUCCUUUAGAAUCAGUGAACUAUGGAUCCAAUCAUGAAGUUAGAGUUCUAGCUCAAGAGUGAAAAAAUUCAAUUCAUAUGUUGAGUUCAUAGAUGUGAGAACAUGAAAACUUGCAAGCAUAUUGAAUUCUUGUUCAACCGAGGUUUGUUAUUAAUUUUCACCAGAGGCCCAGAAAAGAUGGGUAAACAUAUUUGCAUGGCAAUGACUUGAUGAAUGAACUGCGAAAUUGUUUGAGAGUGUAUCUCUAAUCUUGCAAGACAGGCAUGAGAAGUUAAAGAUAUUGCAUAGGGAUCAAAAUGUUCUUACUUGAGUUAAUCAUUGUCCUCUUCUUUCCACCAUUAACAACAAAAGGAUGCACGGAGAGCACUGCAGGAGAAGUUGGGGGACUGUCUUUCAUGUCAGUUCUUGAAUUGACUUCUUUCUUGGAUUAUUUUUUCUGAGUAGUUCACAAAGUUUCUUUCAAUGAUUAAGAUACAUAUCAGAAUAUAUGAUGGAGCAUGAUGGGAUCUUUCCUUUCAAUUCAACAGGGUCAUUGGAGAUUGUGAGUGUUUGCACAUCCUUCCUAGAAUCAUAACCAAGCUAUGCAAUCUGAGGCAGGAGAAGGAUGCACUUGGAAGAGUUAGUGGCACUAGAAAAAAUUGCUUACAUUCAAAUAGACAAGUUGGGGAAGCCAACAAAAUUGCAUCAGUGUUACCUUCAAAUGAACAAGCUUGCUAAAGUGUUUGAUGUGAUCGCCUCCAUCAGGCAUUUGAGAACAUAAGGAUCCAUGCCUUCUAUUGUUGUCGGUAUCCAAUGCAGAUCCCUUCUACUUUUCUUCUUCACCUGACAAUUUUGGAUCUUGAUGACUGCAAGUCCUUCCUUCAGCUUCCCCAGCUUGGCCAACUUCUGAAACUGACAUAUCUAUUGAAUUGAAGCAGCAAUUACAGUAGUAUCAAUUGGGCAUGAAUUCCUCACCAAAGGAGAACUUCAACUGCCUUUAAUAUGCUUGAAUGCCUAUUAUUUUGGAACAUGUGAAUGCAGACUGGAUAGCAAGAAGUUAUUUGGAACAAUUCAGAUCUGACCCUGCAUAGAAAAUAUCUGCCAUCAGCCAGACUAUCAAGACAAAUCAAGAGGUUCACAUCAGUAGAUUAGUGGCUUACAGGGCAAAGUGUGCAGCACUCAAAUUGAUAGAUGGUGAUGAGGAAACACAAAUGAAGAGUCUAUAUUACUACAGAUUGGAAUUAAUGAGGACACAUCCUGGAUCAAGUGUGAUUUUCAGAUGUGAUGAAGGUAAAUUCCAGUGUAUGUAUGUCUGCUUAGCUCCCUUAAGGGAGGGUUUUUUGGCAGGUUGUAGGCAAAUUAUGUCAGUGGAUGGGUGCUUCCUCAAAGGACUAUAUGGUGAAUAGCUCCUUUCAGCAGUGGGGAUAGAUGCUAAUGAUUGCAUCUAUCCUGUUGCUUGGGCCACAGUUGGUAAGAAGAACAAGGACAACUGGAAGUUCUUGGAGCUACUAUCAGAAGAUUUGAGGAUAACAAAUAGCUUCCAGUGGGAAUUCAUGAGCGAUAGACAAAAGGGUCUAAUGCCCGCAAUUGAAGAGUUAUUCCCCAAUUGUGAACAUAAAUACUGUGUGAGGCACAUCCACACCAAUUUCAAAAAAACUUAUAGAGGAAAGGCCUUGAAAGACCAGUUGUGGCAUUGUGCCAAAGCAACCAACACUCCUUCUUUUGAGAAAGCCAUGGAACAAUUAAAGGAUAUGUCUCAAGGUGCCUUUGAAUACUUGAAAAAAAUAGACCCUCAUCAUUGGAGUAGGUCUCAUUUCCAACCCAAGUACAAGUGUGACAUACUACUUAAUAACAUGUGUGAAUGCUUUAACAGUCAAAUUCUCGAGGCUAGGGUUAAAGGCAUAGUCACCAUGAAUGAGAUCAUAAGGACCACAUUAAUGGUUAGGAUUCAAAAAAAAAAGGGAUGAUAUGCAAAAAUG